UGGGGAAUAUUGCACAAUGGGGAAACCCUGAUGCAGCGACGCCGCGUGGAGGAAGAAGGUCUUCGGAUUGUAAACUCCUGUUGUUGAGGAAGAUAAUGACGGUACUCAACAAGGAAGUGACGGCUAACUACGUGCCAGCAGCCGCGGUAAAACGUAGGUCACAAGCGUUGUCCGGAAUUACUGGGUGUAAAGGGAGCGCAGGCGGGAGAACAAGUUGGAAGUGAAAUCCAUGGGCUCAACCCAUGAACUGCUUUCAAAACUGUUUUCUUGAGUAGUGCAGAGGUAGGCGGAAUUCCCGGUGUAGCGGUGGAAUGCGUAGAUAUCGGGAGGAACACCAGUGGCGAAGGCGGCCUACUGGGCACCAACUGACGCUGAGGCUCGAAAGUGUGGGUAGCAAACAGGAUUAGAUACCCUAGU
rnacentral:rRNA from 1 species